rnacentral:rRNA from 1 species
AUUGCACGCUAGCGGGAUGCUUUACACAUGCAAGUCGAACUAGUGGCGGACGGGUGAGUAAUAUAUCGGAACGUGCCCAGUAGCGGGGGCUAACUACUCGAAAGAUUGGCUAAUACCGCAUCCGAUUGUAGCGGCCGCUAUCGGAUUAGAUAGUUGGUGGGGUAAAGGCGCACAAAGGAAACUAUCCGUAGCUGUUGUGAGAGGACGACCAGACCCACUGGGACUGAGACACGGCCCAGACUCCGACGGGAGGCAGCAGUGGGGAAUUUUGGACAAUGGGGGAAACCCUGAUCCAGCCAUCCCGCGUGUAUGAGAAGGCCUUCGGGUUGUAAAGUACUUUUGGCAGAGAAGCGGUAUCUGCAGAAUAAGCACCGGCUAACUACGUGCCAGCAGCCGCGGUAAUAC